CAGCAGCCACGGUAAUACGUAGGUCCCGAGCGUUGUCCGGAUUUAUUGGGCGUAAAGCGAGCGCAGGCGGUUAGAUAAGUCUGAAGUUAAAGGCUGUGGCUUAACCAUAGUACGCUUUGGAAACUGUUUAACUUGAGUGCAAGAGGGGAGAGUGGAAUUCCAUGUGUAGCGGUGAAAUGCGUAGAUAUAUGGAGGAACACCGGUGGCGAAAGCGGCUCUCUGGCUUGUAACUGACGCUGAGGCUCGAAAGCGUGGGGAGCAAACAGGAUUAGAGACCCCUGUAGUCCCUGUCUCUUAUACA
rnacentral:rRNA from 1 species